rfam:Aedes aegypti strain Liverpool supercont1.472 genomic scaffold, whole genome shotgun sequence.
GAAUUCAUGAGGGAUUAUCUGGAGGAAUUCCUAGAGAAACUCCUGGUGGAAUUUCUUGAGGAAUUCCUGGUGGAAUUUCUGAAGGAAUCCCUAAAGGUGUUUCUGGAGGAAUUCCUGAAAGAGUUCCUGGAGGAAACCCUGAAGAA